ACGAUCUUUUAAAAAUGUAAAAACCAUUCUAAGCUCCAGAGCCAGUCCCUGGUAUAAACUAUAAGCAAAGAGAAAAUGCGCUGGUUUACUAUCUUACCAAUCAAACGUGCUGGAUACAAUUUAAAAUUCAUUAAUGUGGAGUUCCUGUCCUGGUGCAGCAGAAAGGAAUCCGACUAGGAACCAUGAGGUUGUGGCUUUAACCCCUGGCCUCGCUCAGAGGGCUAAGGAUCUGGUGUUGCCAUAAGCUGUGGUAUAGGUCGCAGAGGCAGUUUGGAUCUGACAUUGCUGUGGCUGUAGUGUGGCCAGCAACUGUAGCUCCAAUUCAACCCGUAGCCUGGGAACUUCCAUAUGUCACAGGUAUGGCCCUAAAAAGCCAAAAAACGAAAAGAGAAACUACACUUUGCAGAGCUAGCUGAAAUCUUGUUGAAUACCAGACCCUAUAUAACACAUACAUACACACACACACCUCUUCCUGUACUAAUCCCUCGGUGUUAGUGAGAAUGGUCUAGGCUACACUGUGAAUAAACUCCCAAAUCUCAGGGACUUAAUACAAAAAGGUCUUUCUUGCUCAAGUUCCCUGUUCAAUGUGGGCCAAUGAGGGCUCGACUCCACAGAGUCAUUCUGGGACUCAGCCUAAUGGAGAUCACACCACCUGGAACACAUAGCCCCCAAGGUCACCAUGACAGCACAAGGGAAGGCAUGCAAGUAGCACACCUGUUAUUAGAUGUCUUGACAAGGAAAUGACACCCAUUACUUCUAUUGCCAUUUCAUUGGUCAAAACUAAUUAUAUAAUACCUCCAAACUGCAAGGCAGCCAGGAGCUGUGAUCUUCCAGCGCAACUUAGAAGAGUAAAAACUAGGAGUUGAAUGGAAAAAGCUGAAGCAGAUACAGGAUGCCAGAAACCACCUCACCAAGGCUGGGUGUGCCUCACUGAUCCCAGUUACCCAUUAUGCAGUAGGACUGCUGAGGUACAGUAUACAGACUACUCAGGCAUAAAUAAAUCCCCAUUUGCCACCUUCAAAAUCUCUAGGCUAGUAAAGCCAGGUUGUAAGCAGAAAUGAACAAGGGCCAUUUGUCGGUUGUUUCUGGGGUCAUGUUGUAGGGCGGUUCCAAGACUAACCAAAUUUUAGACGUAUCCAAAGCAAUAAAACCUUCAUACGACACCAUCAAGAGCAAAUAUGCACUGAAAUCCACCUCUGAGAAUAGGAUGAGAAAAUAGUAACUGAUCAUUUGGACAAAAAGAGGCUGAGCAUCCUCCUCUGGGCCUCCAUCCCUCUCCUAUAUACCCUCUGUCCUCUCUGAAGUCACCAUACAUAAAAUCAACCUUUCCUUGGUAUACACACAAUGCCACACCCAGUACUUUAUACUGAGUAAGAUGCUCAAUAAACACUUCAUUUGAAUGAAACGCUGAAGGGAUUGAAUCCGUAAGAGUAGAGUUGAAUCCUGUGACAGCACUGCCUCUUUCACAGCCACAUGUGGGAGCAGAAAGGCUGGGACAGAAAGAGCUGCACGUUUCCCAGAAGAAUCAGAGAAGGUCUGUGGAGUGGGUAGUCAAGUUGGACUUUGGCUCACAAUGCCCCAAGGACACUGACAAAUAGCCCAAUAAUAACCCAUCUGAGUCUCAGAAGUCACUCCUUAGAGCUGCUCUAUAAAAGCCAAAAGGAAUUAUUCAUUAGCAAGUGUGAAUAACACGAGAUGCCACCAGCAGAUUGUGUUUGGCCUUGCUGAAUUAUUCAUUAGCAUUUGUGAGAAACGUACAAUCCAAAGAGUGUUAAACCAAUCCAGAUUGCUCAGCAGUGUUUGUUUUCCUUUAAAAACAUUUAAAAAGAAGGGAAAAAAAAAAACAAAAAAAAAAACCACCUCCAAGCUACAGUUCUUAUACUGGAGACCGGUUAUCAAUCUGGCUAAAUAAGUAGGUGAGGAGUAGAAAGUUGAGUAAGAAAGGGAUCUCUGCGAUCUUAUUUAAUAUUCAUCAUUAUAAUGACAGGCGGUAGACUGAACCAAUGUUUGUUUACCUGUCCACAUCCUGCCUUUUUAGAUGUUGUAUGGUCAAAGACAGGAGGAGCUCUACAAUGAGAUUCAGAUGCGGAGGGGGAACAAACUCCUUUGAGUCCUGUCACAGAGCGGAUGCAAAUUUAAUUACUGCGCGUUAAGCUUGCCAUCUUGUCUAGGUGUCCUUGGAAAGCAACUGUAAACAAGAAGCACUCAGCAAUCAGGUGUCAGGGGCUCAUUUGAUCUGCUUGGAAAGAUGUCACAAAUCCCUGGCAGGAAGUGAGUCGGGAAGGGGAACAAAGAGAGAGGGCUGACAGUGUUGGAGGCAGAUCUUGGGGGAGCAUCUGUUAGUGCCGGGGACCGCUCCCACUCCCAGCUCCAACUUCCCGGAGAAAGUGCUCCCUGCCUGACAAGGCUCUCUCAUCUCACAUUUGUUAUACAUUUUCCUGUGGUCUGCAGAAAUCACCAGCACAACUCGGGAGUCAACUGCAGCCUACACGCAAUUAAAUUAUUUGAGACUCAAGGAAACCUUAGCAUGAGCUGAUUUUUCUUUUUUAAAGACAAUUGCAGAAAUCUGGAAAUUAGUACAGAAUCUAAACUCAGGUAAAAGAAAUCCUAAUUACCCAGGAGUCUCAAAGAAAACCCUAGGCCUAGCUGCACUCCCAUCUUUUCAGCAUGCCCCUAAUUGAAUAGGAAGAAUGGUCCAGCCUAUGAAGCUCCAGGUCUGAACCUGAGCUGUGAAACACCCUGCUGUUUCUAUGAUAAUGGGUGCUGCCUUUGUAGGCAAUUGCAAGGAAGUGAUCCCUGAGUGCACUCGAUGGGUAUUCUGCAAAGAGCCUGUAGCCUACCUGAAGGGAGCCCACAUUCAGAGCACGAUGCUCACCUUCUCAAGACAACUGCAGAAAAUGGCUUUCUGCGCUCACAACCGAACCAUGCUUCCAGAAGUGCUUGUGGAUGAAUUAUUUUAUAGGAAUUUUAAAUUCUAGUGCUAAGUCAAACUCUCCCCACUGCUAUAAUGAAGUAACAACUUACAGAUGGAAGGCCAAAAACAAACAAACAAACAAACAAAAAAAAAAACCAAACCAACCAUAACCAAGCCCUAUUAAAGUUGGAGUAAAUUAACCAAUCUCUCUAAGCGUCAAUGGUCUCAUCUGCAAUAUCAGGGGGAAAGCACAACCAUGGAGGGAGGACAGAUAAUACAUGUAAGUUACAGCCAGUUUUAUUAAAGAAUAGGGAAAUUAAUAUUAAUACUACAAUUAUUAUUUGCCUAGUAAUACAAGUAGUCCCCUGAUACUAACAUUU
rnacentral:lncRNA from 1 species